rnacentral:rRNA from 1 species
GGAAUCUUGGACAAUGGGCGCAAGCCUGAUCCAGCCAUGCCGCGUGAGUGAAGAAGGCCUUAGGGUUGUAAAACUCUUUCGCCGGAGAAGAUAAUGACGGUAUCCGGAGAAGAAGCCCCGGCUAACUUCGUGCCAGCAGCCGCGGUAAUACGAAGGGGGCUAGCGUUGUUCGGAAUUACUGGGCGUAAAGCGCACGUAGGCGGGUUUGUAAGUAGAGGGUGAAAUCCCAGGGCUCAACCCUGGAACUGCCUUCUAAACUGCAAGCCUGGAGGUCAGGAGAGGCGAGUGGAAUACCGAGUGUAGAGGUGAAAUUCGUAGAUAUUCGGAAGAACACCAGUGGCGAAGGCGACUCGCUGGACAAGUAUUGACGCUGAGGUGCGAAAGCGUGGGGAGCAAAC